rnacentral:rRNA from 1 species
CCCCGGGUAUAAGCAUAUCAAUAAGCGGAGGAAAAGAAACCAACAGGGAUUGCCCCAGUAACGGCGAGUGAAGCGGCAACAGCUCAAAUUUGAAAUCUGGCCCUCGGGUCCGAGUUGUAAUUUGUAGAGGAUGCUUUUGGCGAGGUGCCUUCCGAGUUCCCUGGAACGGGACGCCAUAGAGGGUGAGAGCCCCGUCUGGUCGGACACCGAGCCUCUGUAAAGCUCCUUCAACGAGUCGAGUAGUUUGGGAAUGCUGCUCAAAAUGGGAGGUAUAUGUCUUCUAAAGCUAAAUAUUGGCCAGAGACCGAUAGCGCACAAGUAGAGUGAUCGAAAGAUGAAAAGCACUUUGAAAAGAGGGUUAAAAAGUACGUGAAAUUGUUGAAAGGGAAGCGCUUAUGACCAGACUUGCGCCCGGUGAAUCAUCCAGCGUUCUCGCUGGUGCACUUUGCCGGGCACAGGCCAGCAUCAGUUUGGCGCGGGGGAAAAAGGCUUCGGGAAUGUGGCUCCCUCGGGAGUGUUAUAGCCCGCUGCGUAAUACCCUGCGCCGGACUGAGGUACGCGCAUUGCAAGGAUGCUGGCGUAAUGGUCAUCAGCGACCCGUCUUGAAACACGGACCAAGGAGUCGUCUUCGUAUGCGAGUGUUCGGGUGUCAAACCCCUACGCGUAAUGAAAGUGAACGCAGGUGAGAGCUUCGGCGCAUCAUCGACCGAUCCUGAUGUUCUCGGAUGGAUUUGAGUAAGAGCAUACGGGGCCGGACCCGAAAGAAGGUGAACUAUGCCUGUAUAGGGUGAAGCCAGAGGAAACUCUGGUGGAGGCUCGCAGCGGUUCUGACGUGCGAAUCGAUCGUCAAAUAUGGGCAUGGGGGCGAAAGACUAAUCGAA